rnacentral:sRNA from 1 species
AUUUUUCUAGUUGCAGCCUAGUCUUUUAGGCUGGUGGCUGGUGACUAAAUAGUCACCAGCCU